GGUUUUUAACGACUAACAGAGUUUUUCUAAUUUCAUGGACAACAAAAGACUGAAUCUCUACUACUUGAGCCCCCCCUGACUGGAAAGCUGGAUCCGCUCCUGCAAACAGUCUUAACCGAGUUGCAAAUGAAGCUUCCGAUAGCACUCGUCAAAUUGCACAAAAUUUGAGUGUGCCCGCACAUGCAUACCAGAGAUUAGUAGAUCUAUGUCCAUACCAUUUAGAAGCAUUUGAAUAUUUGACUCCAGACGAUUUCAAACCAAGAAUUCAACUUUCUCAGAGGCUCAUCUGUUCAUCAAUCUCAUUUUCUCAGAGAUCAUAUUGUUGAGUAACGCAAUUUUUUAUGUUUUGGUUUAAUGGACGGGGAAGCCAGUUUUACCUGAGAUGGCAUAUUCAGCAAUACGAAUAAUUUUCAGCUUGUUAAUGACCAUUUGGUUGGCUCUCUGCUACCUAAUCGUUUAACAGGACUUAUCAGCGGUCGUUUUCUGCAAGAUGUCCUGCCAAAACGUUCAGAAAACAACGAAAAAAAUGGUGCAUAUCCAAUGUAUGAGUUGAUGUCUGUCAGUAUUUGGACCGGCACUUUGACCAACAUUGGGUCGGCAUAGGUCCAGUUGCGUGGACCGCCAGGCCACCCGAUUUAACAUAUUGGGAUUUUUUUGUGGUGACACGUAAAGUGUCUGGUUUACGCCACUGAAACCAGAGCAAGACCUGAUUGCAAGAAUUACUGCGGCAUUUAAAAUUUGAAGUCGGUCAAAAUGACUAUCAAAUUUUCAGUGGAGUCCGCACAAACCAUGUACUAUGUUUGAACAAGUGUGUUCAAGUUCAAACGACAUUUUCAACAGAUCCUAGAUGUGUUAUUGCGAACAGACAAAUUAAAAUAAAAUACAUUUAAGGAUAAAACACAGUUUUGCACAAAAAGGUCUCAAAGCGUCAUAAGCAAUAGGGAUAUAUUUCCGAGCAUAGGAAUUCUUACUGUUGUACUGAAUCCCUAGGAGUUUUAUCUCAUAGUUCUGAGUCACUGGGUGGAAAUACACCAAAUGUGCUAAUUGUACAAACAACUAUUUUGACAAAUUUCACUGACAUGUUAUCAUUUAUAUUGCCGCUCCUGUAUGGUUCACACUAUGGAAUAUAUAUUAUUAUGGCCGUGCUGUACUUUAUAUUCAUAUAAUUAGCUUUUCCUGUUCGAAAAUAAUACGUUUUGUAGGAAUUAAAUUAGUUCAAACUACUGUUUUUGCUGCAUUGCAAACGUACAACUUUACGACAAUGUGAUCUUCUAUAUUACCAAUGUUAGUUAAAGAGUGAAUAAAUUUGAAACACAG